UACGAAGGGGGCUAGCGUUGUUCGGAAUUACUGGGCGUAAAGCGUGCGCAGGCGGCUUCUCAAGUCAGGGGUGAAAGCCCAGGGCUCAACUCUGGAAUUGCCUUUGAGACUGAGUGGCUUGAGUACGGGAGAGGUGAGCGGAAUUCCCAGUGUAGAGGUGAAAUUCGUAGAUAUUGGGAAGAACACCGGUGGCGAAGGCGGCUCACUGGCCCGUAACUGACGCUCAUGCACGACAGCGUGGGGAUCAAACAGG
rnacentral:rRNA from 1 species